rfam:Gorilla gorilla gorilla genomic chromosome, chr2B, whole genome shotgun sequence
AAACAGAUAGGUUUUGUCCUGGUCUUUUUGAUUAGCUCUUAGUAAGAUUACACAUGCAAGUAUCCCCACCCCAGUGAAAAUGCCCUCUAGAUCACCCAGAUUAAAAGGAGCAAGUAUCAAGCACACACGAAUGCAGCUCAAAAUAGUUUGCUCAACCACACCCCUAUGGGAAACAGCAGUGAUAAAUCUUUAGUAAUAAACAAAAGCUUGACUGAGCUUUACUGAUAUUUAGGGUUGGUUAACUUCGUGCCAGCCACCACGGCCAUAUGAUUAACCCAAGCUAAUAGAACUCGGCAUAAAGAAUGUUUAAGGUCUAUCCUCAAUAAAGCUAAGUUGUAAAAAACUCCAUCUAAGUUGUAAAAAACUCCAGCUGAAAUCAAAUAUACUACAAAGUGGCUUUAAUACCCUGAAGACACAAUAGCUAAGACCCAAACUGGGAUUAGAUACCCCACUACGCUUAGCCCUAAAGUCGAAUAGUUACAUUAACAAAACCAUUCGCCAGACUACUACAAGCAACAGCUUAAAACUCAAAGGACUUGGCGGUGCUUUACAUCCCUCUAGAGGAGCCUGUUCUAUAAUAGACAAACCCCGAUACAACUCACCAUCUCUUGCCCCCAGUCUGUAUACCACCAUCUUCAGCAAACCCUAAAAAGGUUAUAGAUUAAGCAUAAGUAUACACAUAAAAAACGUUAGGUCAAGGUGUAACCCGUGAGGUGGCAAGAAAUGGGCUACAUUUUCUAUGUCCAGGAAAUCUCAUGAAAACCUUUGUGAAAUCUGAGGUCUCAAGGAGGAUUUAGCAGUAAACCAAGAGCAGAGUGCUUGGUUGAAUAAGGCCAUGAAGCACGUACACACAGCCUAUCACCCUCCUCAAGUAUUACUCUAGAAAUCACUAUUACUAAUAAUUUUCUACACAUCUAUAGAGGAGAUAAGUUAUAACAUGGUAAGCAUAUUGGAAAAUGUGCUUGGUCAAACCAAAGU